rnacentral:rRNA from 1 species
AGAGUUCGAUCCUGGCUCAGGAUGAACGCUGGCGGCGCGCCUAACACAUGCAAGUCGAACGGCACCCACCUUCGGGUGGAAGCGAGUGGCGAACGGCUGAGUAACACGUGGAGAACCUGCCCCCUCCCCCGGGAUAGCCGCCCGAAAGGACGGGUAAUACCGGAUACCCCGGGGUGCCGCAUGGCACCCCGGCUAAAGCCCCGACGGGAGGGGAUGGCUCCGCGGCCCAUCAGGUAGACGGCGGGGUGACGGCCCACCGUGCCGACAACGGGUAGCCGGGUUGAGAGACCGACCGGCCAGAUUGGGACUGAGACACGGCCCAGACUCCUACGGGAGGCAGCAGUGGGGAAUCUUGCGCAAUGGGGGGAACCCUGACGCAGCGACGCCGCGUGCGGGACGGAGGCCUUCGGGUCGUAAACCGCUUUCAGCAGGGAAGAGUCAAGACUGUACCUGCAGAAGAAGCCCCGGCUAACUACGUGCCAGCAGCCGCGGUAAUACGUAGGGGGCGAGCGUUAUCCGGAUUCAUUGGGCGUAAAGCGCGCGUAGGCGGCCCGGCAGGCCGGGGGUCGAAGCGGGGGGCUCAACCCCCCGAAGCCCCCGGAACCUCCGCGGCUUGGGUCCGGUAGGGGAGGGUGGAACACCCGGUGUAGCGGUGGAAUGCGCAGAUAUCGGGUGGAACACCGGUGGCGAAGGCGGCCCUCUGGGCCGAGACCGACGCUGAGGCGCGAAAGCUGGGGGAGCGAACAGGAUUAGAUACCCUGGUAGUCCCAGCCGUAAACGAUGGACGCUAGGUGUGGGGGGACGAUCCCCCCGUGCCGCAGCCAACGCAUUAAGCGUCCCGCCUGGGGAGUACGGCCGCAAGGCUAAAACUCAAAGGAAUUGACGGGGGCCCGCACAAGCAGCGGAGCAUGUGG